CGGAGCAACGCCGCGUGAGUGAUGAAGGUUUUCGGAUCGUAAAGCUCUGUUGUUAGGGAAGAACAAGUACCGUUCGAAUAGGGCGGUACCUUGACGGUACCUAACCAGAAAGCCACGGCUAACUACGUGCCAGCAGCCGCGGUAAUACGUAGGUGGCAAGCGUUGUCCGGAAUUAUUGGGCGUAAAGGGCUCGCAGGCGGUUCCUUAAGUCUGAUGUGAAAGCCCCCGGCUCAACCGGGGAGGGUCAUUGGAAACUGGGGAACUUGAGUGCAGAAGAGGAGAGUGGAAUUCCACGUGUAGCGGUGAAAUGCGUAGAGAUGUGGAGGAACACCAGUGGCGAAGGCGACUCUCUGGUCUGUAACUGACGCUGAGGAGCGAAAGCGUGGGGAGCGAACAGGAUUAGAUACCCUGGUAGUCCACGCCGUAAACGAUGAGUGCUAAGUGUUAGGGGGUUUCCGCCCCUUAGUGCUGCAGCUAACGCAUUAAGCACUCCGCCUGGGGAGUACGGUCGCAAGACUGAAACUCAAAGG
rnacentral:rRNA from 1 species